UGCCACGUGUCAAGUCAAACGAU
rnacentral:siRNA from 1 species